AACUCCAAUAAUAAUUAUUAAUUGAACUCGAAAAUGUAACAAUAUCCGUACAAAAUCCAGAUCCAAAACUCUAAAAACAAAGAAAAAUAUAGGCAUGUUUUUCUUUCUUACAUAAGUAAAAAGGUCAAUAAAUAACAAAAGUUAAAGCAUCACCCUCUUCUAGACUUCCAAUAAAUAAGGGCAAAAUAAUGUCAAUCAUUUCAAACUUGUUAACAGUUUUUCUGUAUCAAUCCCUGCAUCUGUCUGCAGAUUUUCCUCCUCAAUCUAGCAUCUUGAUUUCUCAUGUGAUAAAUGCAUCAAGGUGUAAGUGUAAGACAAAAAUGCAGAGAUAACACGUGACUAAUAUCAUGCAGAGAUAACACUUGACUAAUGCCAAGAAGACCUUCAUUCCGCCAAUGCUUCCCCAGGUUGGCACUAUUGCUGCUGCCCAGUAGAAACUCCUUCUAGUGACUUUGACCCCCCUACUUCAGACAGUAGCAUUCUCAGCCAUUUCCUCCCCUUCUCAACUCUUACCACACUUUCCCUACUUCACCCUAUUUCAACUCUCCUUCUAGUUAACACCAUGUAUAACAACAAAUGUGGAAAAACCAAUUAUUGUUGCCUCUGAGUUGUUUUUGAACAAUGGCUUUUGAAGCCAUUUCUAAAUCUUCUUCUUUUUCUUCUUGAUCAUUAUUCAGACUGCCAAAAACCCCUCCAAGACUUGCCCGAAACGAUGAAAGAAAUACCUGGAGACGACUAUUGUGCGCCUGUUCUUCUGGGUCUUCGGUCGCCACAAUUCAAAUCUAAAUCAUUCUUUCUCUGAAUUUCUCUCUUCCUCCAAAAUUAUUUCUUUCUCUUUCUAAAAAUUCUUCUGGGUCUUCGGUCACCACAUAACCUAUGCAGAUACAAGACCUCGAGAUGAUCCAAUUGAAAUCGUGUAGACAAAAUAAAGAAUACUCAAAGUACAUUUGGAAAGAACCAGUCAACCAAAUGAAAAUUAAUGUUAAAAGCAUGAAAUUAAGAGAGGACUUAUCGAUGACCCUUAAUCAUGGAAAAUCGGUUACCGACGUUGGGUAAUAUCGGUGAUUUGGUGAGAAAAUGAGAGAGGCCGCGCUAUGGGACUGGGCAUGAGAGAGACAUGGUAGAUGGAUUAGGGAUGUUGAGUCUCG
rnacentral:lncRNA from 1 species